GAGGAACAUGUUAAACUACACCAUAGAGACUCAGUAUACUACACCCAGGAACAGUACUUUGUAUCCUUCAAUCCAAUCAAAUUGACACUCAAUAAACCAUGAUAGAUAAAAACUUACCAGGAAGAGCAAAACAUCAAGAGAGUCUGACAAAAGCUCUGCCCUCCUCUGUAACCCAGCAGCCUCUGAAAGAAAGAAUAUUGAAAACAACGCUAGUAUUUACUGUACAUUAGAAAGCCAGUGUAUUAGAAGCCUUCUAACUACUGAUAGAUCAGUCUGGGCCUUGUGGUUCAUUUGGGCCAGACUCAAGCUCAGUAUCCCAUCUAAUGCAUCAAAUAUUUAUAUAUGAAAAAUUCUGAAAUGUAAAAAUCAACAUCAAAAUGGAAUCAGCCUUUCAUAAAUGAAAUUGCUAAACUGUGAAGUUGUAAAAUUUAGAAACUUGAUGGCUUAAAGGAAGAAAGGGAAAUUAUUGAAGGUAAUUUUAAUGAGAUACCUGUACAGGUCCAAUGUAUUCUACAAAUAACUCAAUAAUUUGGAAACGUGUGCCAAAAACAUGCUUUUCUUUGGUUGCCAAAGCCAAAAAGUAUGUAUGCCCAACUUUGAUUUUCAUAUAAAACCUGCGAAUAUAAAUUGUACUGUUGUUUCUGGAAACUGGGAUUUAUUUCACUUAAAUAUAAUAACUUGCAAAUAUCUUAGGGCAAUUUGUAAUAAAAUCCUAGUUAACACAUUUUUGUGCCAAUUCUCUUAUUUUUAAAUACGCUCUUAUUCUCAUCCCAAAUGCCAUAUUACUCAAUUACAUGAGCAUUAUUUGAAUGUACAAUCUUUCAAGAUUUCUUCCUUGGAGUAUUUCUCAAACUUGAGCAUUAGGAUGAGUACAGGAAGGGAGAGCAAGGUAUCUACAGAAAAUAUUAUUUUUCUCAAAACUAGCCAUCUGGUCAUAUCACUGUUAGGUUUAAUGUUUGUACAAU
rnacentral:lncRNA from 1 species